rnacentral:sRNA from 1 species
UGAUGAUGAUGAUGAUGAUGAUGAUGAUGAUGAUGAUGAUGAUGAUGAUGAAAAAGAUCUUCAUCCUGAUCCUCAUGAAGAUGAUGAUCAUGAUCA